rnacentral:rRNA from 1 species
UACGUAGGGUGCGAGCGUUGUCCGGAAUUACUGGGCGUAAAGAGCUCGUAGGUGGUUUGUCGCGUUGUUCGUGAAAACUCACAGCUUAACUGUGGGCGUGCGGGCGAUACGGGCAGGCUGGAGUUCGGUAGGGGAGACUGGAAUUCCUGGUGUAGCGGUGAAAUGCGCAGAUAUCAGGAGGAAUACCGGUGGCGAAGGCGGUUCUCUGGGCAUGACCUGACGCUGAGGAGCGAAAGUGUGGGGAGCGAACAGG